rnacentral:rRNA from 1 species
AGGACGAACGCUGGCGGCGUGCUUAACACAUGCAAGUCGAGCGGAAAGGCCCUUCGGGGUACUCGAGCGGCGAACGGGUGAGUAACACGUGAGCAACCUGCCCCUGGCUCUGGGAUAGCCUCCGGAAACGGGGAUUAAUACCGGACAUGACCUGCUGCCGCAUGGUGGCGGGUGGAAAGUUUUUCGGCCAGGGAGGGGCUCGCGGCCUAUCAGCUUGUUGGGGGGGUAACGCCCACCAAGGCGACGACGGGUAG